rnacentral:rRNA from 1 species
AUUGAACGCUGGCGGCAGGCCUAACACAUGCAAGUCGAGCGGAUGAAGGGAGCUUGCUCCUGGAUUCAGCGGCGGACGGGUGAGUAAUGCCUAGGAAUCUGCCUGGUAGUGGGGGAUAACGUCCGGAAACGGGCGCUAAUACCGCAUACGUCCCGAGGGAGAAAGUGGGGGAUCUUCGGACCUCACGCUAUCAGAUGAGCCUAGGUCGGAUUAGCUAGUUGGUGGGGUAAAGGCCUACCAAGGCGACGAUCCGUAACUGGUCUGAGAGGAUGAUCAGUCACACUGGAACUGAGACACGGUCCAGACUCCUACGAGAGGCAGCAGUGGGGAAUAUUGGACAAUGGGCGAAAGCCUGAUCCAGCCAUGCCGCGUGUGUGAAGAAGGUCUUCGGAUUGUAAAGCCCUUUAAGUUGGGAGGAAGGGCAGUAAGUUAAUACCUUGCUGUUGUGACGUUACCAACAGAAUAAGCACCGGCUAACUUCGUG